GACGCUCCAGUGGCGCAAUUGGUUAGCGC
rnacentral:sRNA from 1 species